UACAGAGGUGGCAAGCGUUGUUCGGAAUUACUGGGCGUAAAGGGCGCGUAGGCGGUCUUCUAAGUCUUGUGUGAAAUCCCUCGGCUCAACUGAGGAACUGCACGGGAUACUGGAUGACUUGAGUUCGGGAGAGGGAAGCGGAAUUCCGGGUGUAGCGGUGAAAUGCGUAGAUAUCCGGAGGAACACCGGUGGCGAAGGCGGCUUCCUGGACCGAUUACUGACGCUGAGGCGCGAAAGCUAGGGGAGCAAACGGG
rnacentral:rRNA from 2 species